rnacentral:SRP_RNA from 1 species
AACCGGGUCCUGCGCGACGAGAACUCAUGAACCCCGUCAGGUCCGGGAGGAAGCAGCGGUAAGUGAGCAGCCUCGGGUGCCGCAGGGGUACCUGGUUGGAGUU